rnacentral:tRNA from 1 species
CGUUCUAUGGCUAUUUGGUAAAGGCAUCGCCGAUCACAGGCGGAGGAUGUGGGUUCGAGUCCCACUGGAACGG